GGGAGUAAAUUUAAGUUCAGCAACAUCUGUUACCCCAUUGAUCACCAGGGCUGAUUUGGCUGAUCUGGCUGGCUAAGUGGCUGUCCCCUCCUUCCCUCACUGCUCCAUAUGCAUCCCUCCCGAAGCUGCGCACUCGAUGGAAGAGGAUGAUGUUCUAGAUAUAGAAGGAGUGUACUGAGGUCUCCAGCCUUCGGUCCCGGGUAUACGAUAGCUAUGCUUCCCUGCUAGCACCUCCAAACAAGGUCAAGGUCCACUUAAUUUGUCGAUAGGUAGUAUUCUUUGCAUGCAAGAGAUCUCAAAUUCAAUCUCAAGUUAAAUUAUCCUCAUU
rnacentral:snRNA from 1 species